ACCUGCUAGCCGCAGUAUUUUGACUGUGCGAAGGUAGCAUAAUCAUUUGUCUUUUAAUUAAAGGCUGGAAUGAAUGGUGUGACGAGAAAUCCUCUGUUUUUAAAUUUUAUUUGUGGGUGCAAAAGCCUACAUAAGUUCAUUGGACGAUCAGACCCUAUGAAGCUGAUUGGUUGGGGCGACAAUAAAUGAUCCUGAUAGACAGAUUAAAAGACUAAGUUACUCUAGGGAUAACAGCGUUAUUUUUUCGGAGAGUUCAAAUCGAUGAAAAAGAUUGCGACCUCGAUGUUGGAUCAAGAAAUCGAAAAGGUGUGGAAGCUUUUUUCGAAGGUCUGUUCGACCUUUAAAUUCUU
rnacentral:rRNA from 1 species